rnacentral:lncRNA from 1 species
UAUCUGCUCCACUUGCAUAGUUGGACAUGAGGGAUCACUACUUGAUGCAUCUCUAAUGGUCGAUGAAGCUGGGUAUGAGUAUGAAGACACUUCUGUAUGUAUGAUUGGUGGACCAGCAAUAUCCGUAACUGAUAGUUCUCUAUAUAUGGUAGGGGCAGAGAUUGCAUAUCAAUAUGAGAGUAAUGCCGCAUUUGAUAAU